rnacentral:rRNA from 1 species
CAGUUCAGAUUGCAGGCUGCAACUCGCCUGCAUGAAGUCGGAAUUGCUAGUAAUCGUAGGUCAGCAUACUACGGUGAAUACGUUCCCGGGCCUUGUACACACCGCCCGUCACACCAUGAGAGUCGGGAACACCCGAAGUCCGUAGUCUAACCGCAAGGGGGGCGCGGCCGAAGGUGGGUCCGGUAAUUGGGGUGAAGUCGUAACAAGGUACC